AUGACUGCCACCAGUUUGAUCUGGACUUUUGCUGACAUCUACAGUGAUAUCCACUGUAAGACUGUCUCACUGUCCAGACGGUACCAUCCUGCUUUCCUGGAUUUUUCCUCUACAAAUCAGUCCUGUAAAACAUCAAGGUGGCCUAAUUAUUUUCUAUGCUUUGAAGAAAAGUGUUCUGUUUGUGCUCUUCUAUUCAGCCCCUGCAAUGCCUCCAGCCUGUACCACGUUGCUCCUUGUGAAGACAGCUGGCCUAACUCCAGCUGGGUGCUGUGGGUCCAGAUAUGUCACCGCCUGGGAAGCUCUUGUCAAAUGACACAGCUGAUGAGGACUUCAAACUCACCAUGCAGUGCUGUCCCAAAGAACAGAACACAAGGGCAUCUGUCAGGAUUCCUGCUCUGGAAAAGAAGAUCAGAGCAAACGGGGACCGAGGAGAAUAAAAGCUGACCCAAACCUUUGACCCAAAGUUAACAUAAAGCCAAAUGAAACCUUAGAG
rnacentral:lncRNA from 1 species